rnacentral:tRNA from 1 species
AGUGGUGCAGCUCAGUGGUAGAGUGCGUGCCUAGUAUGUAUGAGGCUCUGGGUUCGAUCUUCAGCAUCAAUA